ensembl:snRNA U6 U6 spliceosomal RNA
GUGCUCACUUCCAUACCACAUAUACUAAAAUUGGAUCAAUAUAUAGAGAUUAGCACAGUCCUUGCACAAGGAUGAUACAUAAAUUUGUAAAACAUUCCAUAAAAAA